GUUCCUUGGAGAGCUUGGAGCCGCGCGCCGGAGGGAAUAGGAAAGCUUGGUUACAACCCGGGACACCCGGAGCUUCAGGAUGGUUCGUACUAAGACAUGGACCCUGAAGAAGCACUUUGUUGGCUAUCCUACUAAUAGUGACUUUGAGUUGAAGACAGCUGAGCUCCCACCCUUAAAAAAUGGAGAGGUCCUGCUUGAAGCUUUGUUCCUCACCGUGGAUCCCUACAUGAGAGUGGCAGCCAAAAGAUUGAAGGAAGGUGAUACAAUGAUGGGGCAGCAAGUGGCCAAGUAAUUAUUUCCAUUUGUCCCAGUGCUUGGAAAAUAUGUCUCCUCUUUACCUCCUGCUGGGUCCUGUCUCUGUCCAUUGCUCCUACAAUUUCUUCAGCCUAUGUUGUUGACUCACUGUGUGAUCUUGGAAUCAACUUGGGAAAUUCUGUCUCCUUCCUAACUAGCUGGAAAGGAGGGAAGGAUGUGAAAUUGUCAUUUUUUCAGCUUCACUUUGCCAUCCUUACUUUUAAUUACUAAAAAAAAAAAAGUAUUUGUCCAGGUCAUGAUUUAUUGCGGGAUCUGGCCAGCAGCCCACAAUGCAACAGGGUUCUCUCUUUGUUCCCAGGUGGAUCGGCAGGUUGAGAAAUAAUAGACACACACAAGAUAGUGAAAGCUGGGUCCAGGGGCGUCACCGCCUUCUGGUUCCGUGGUGCCACCAAAGCACUGAAUAUACCCGCAUUUAUUAUUAAGUUUAGUGAGGGCGGGGGUAGGUUAGUGAGGGAUUUAGGGUCAUUUGAUUAUGAGGUGAGAUGGUCACAUGGGGAUGAAGUAAUUCUUUAACAUACAUCUGUAUGCAGAA
rnacentral:lncRNA from 1 species